rnacentral:rRNA from 1 species
UUACCAGACUCCUACGGGAGGCAGCAGUGGGGAAUAUUGGGCAAUGGACGCAAGUCUGACCCAGCAACGCCGCGUGAAGGAAGAAGGCUUUCGGGUUGUAAACUUCUUUUAAGGGGGAAGAGCAGAAGACGGUACCCCUUGAAUAAGCCACGGCUAACUACGUGCCAGCAGCCGCGGUAAUACGGAGGAUGCGAGCGUUAUCCGGAUUUAUUGGGUUUAAAGGGUGCGCAGGCGGUCUGUUAAGUCAGCGGACAACCCCGGGGCCCCCCCCCCGGCCCGCCGUUGAAACUGGCAGUCUCGAGUUGGAGAGAAGUAUGCGGAAUGCGCGGUGUAGCGGUGAAAUGCAUAGAUAUCGCGCAGAACUCCGAUUGCGAAGGCAGCAUGCCGGCUCCACACUGACGCUGAGGCACGAAAGCGUGGGUAUCGAACAGGAUUAGAUACCCCGGUACA